rnacentral:rRNA from 1 species
UCGGGAAUUUUGGGCAAUGGGCGAAAGCCUGACCCAGCAACGCCGCGUGAGGGAUGAAGUAUUUCGGUAUGUAAACCUCGAAAGAAUGGGAAGAAUAAAUGACGGUACCAUUUAUAAGCUCUGGCUAACUACGUGCCAGCAGCCGCGGUAAUACGUAGGGAGCAAGCGUUGUUCGGAUUUACUGGGCGUAAAGGGCGCGUAGGCGGCGCGGUAAGUCACUUGUGAAAUCUCUGAGCUUAACUCAGAACGGCCAAGUGAUACUGCUGUGCUAGAGUGCGGAAGAGGCAACCGGAAUUCUUGGUGUAGCGGUGAAAUGCGUCGAUAGCAAGAGGAACACCUGGGGCGAAGGCGGGUUGCUGGGGCGACCCUGACGCUGAUGCGCGAAAGCCAGGGGAGCAAACG